CUCCCAGUCAGUGGACUUAAAACAGUCCUGGAGGACUUCAGGAGUCCAGCUUUUAAUCUCCACUUAUUUACCCUUCUCUCACUGCAGACGCGCUUUUAUAAACUUGCAGGAGCUCAACCAUGUUAUGAUCUGAACCCCCAAGAUUGGGUAGUGCCUUGGAAAAAUAUGCAGCUGGGAUGUUAACAUAAUAGAUGUCCAGACAGGCUUCAUUUCGGGUAGGACAUGUAACAUAUUGGUGAUAUGAUGGUAAGUGUAAAGAUUGCACAUGUUAGUCUCCCAGGAUCUGCUUUACUGCUUCGGGUGACUGUUUCAGGCUGUGAUACAAGAUCAGGAAUCAUGUCGGCAGCUAUUUGGGUGUCAGCAGAGGGGGCUAUGUAAACAAUAAAUCAUCGGGCCUGAUAUAUUUCCCGUGGCAGGUAGUAUGGCUGUAGGUUAAGCAAUGUUUUUAUUACAGACCUCAUGCUCAGUUGUAAUAUGGGAAUGAUUGCAACAUUUCUCAUUGACGAAUGCACAAACUCUCUUGCUAAAGAUUUGGUCCAUUUGAACUAUUCUGCCAUGCAACUCCACAACGGAGUCGGGAUCCUGUUCCGUAAACAGGUCUCAGAGUGAUCAAACAGGAUUGUCGGUUCUCUGAGAGGUAUUGGGUACAAGCCCAUAGUUCAUCAGUCUUAUUCCUUAUGCUUUGUACAUUUCCAUGCAUAAUAGAUGUCUGAAGGGCUGUUUUUAAUCCGAUUCCCGAAUUCCUCCUCUACUGCCACGCUUCCACGUUUAGAAGCCUUUCCUUGGGAACACUGAUUGUAUUAAUGGUGGUAUUCCAUUGCAGUGUACUGUAGACUUGCAGCAAAGGGUCGGAGAUUAAACAGGACAUCUCUUGCGUAUGAUAUCCGCGGUUGCGGCUCGCUGUAUCCAUUGAGGGUUAGGGUUUGGUGCGUUUCAGAAAAAAACGGAUUAAAACUAAUUGCUAUUUGCCUCUAUUAAUUAUCCAAUUUAAUACCACUAAAAACUUGGUAGUUUGAAGUAGAUCGCAACUUUUAAAACACUUUAAACAACAAAAUAAAAACAUGGAAGAGACGAGCACAGAUGACUGUCGCUGCAAGAACAGACGCCAAUUUACAUGCUAACCUCUCCCUCCCUCCGGCGACAUCACCGGUCUACUAACCGCCGGUCCUGGCAACCCAUCAUUAUGCACACCUGCACCUCAUCAUUAGGCUACUCUGCAAAUGCACUUCCUCAUUGUGCUGAUGUGCUGUUUGUUGUGACUUGGCUACCUGCCAAACGUUUAGUUUUUUACUUAUAAUAACUCUUUAAUCAAAACUUAGCAUUUAACACAUUUACCAAUGUCUUAGUUUUUUCCUCGCUCAACUUUUUUCAUUAAACUUUUUCGCCCCGGAUGCUUUAGUACCUGGAUACCAACAACUGAGCCAGGCCACGAAGAGGUCAACACAUAAAACUCUCUCUAUAAAACUACUAAAGGAAAGUGCUAAUUUCCAGUGUAUGAGUGUGACUCCAAUUGUUGGCCAAUACAUUAUGUAAUUGAAUGUUUUGUAUCCCCCACGACUAGACACUGGGGACACGCCCGACACAGCUCUGAGAGGCUACACCGAACACUAUCAAGCAACCGGGCCGGUGCAUAGAAAGGAACAGCCGGGAACCCGCCUCUGAUAACCAAGCCCGGACAUCACCCGCCCCCAUGCGCUUCUCUCUCACUCGCACAUUCAACAAGAAACAGACAACAACACAGUUGUGCAGAGGGCUGAUGGGGGUGUCCGAAGCCAUGGAGGGAGCAUCCAAGUCCCUGGCAAAGCUGGGAAAUGUUUGUUCCCUUGGACUGUCAGCAUGCAACAGUGAAAACAAAUUUGAUUCUGCUGGGGACUCGAUGGUGAGGCAUAUAUCUGUACCUGGGGCAAUGACUGUUUUCCUGGGGCAAAUGUUCAGGAUAUCACCAGGUUGCUUCCCGAGGCUGUGAGUCAGUCACCGGAGGCUGAUACUGUCAUGGUUCAUGCGGGGUCAAAUGACAUUAUGAAGGGCAGCUCAGAACAGCUGAAGAUGGAUUUUAAUGAACUGAUUACGUCUCUACUUGACCAACAAACACCCCAUAAUACCUGGCCCUGUGCCCUCCCUAAAUCGUGGCAUUGAACGGUUCAGCAGACUUUUAGCCCACCAUAACUGGCUACAAGACUAUUGCAGCUCUGUGGGUGUAACAUUUAUUGACAAUUUUCAUACCUUAUGGAAACAAAGCUCGUAUUAUAAGGAGGAUGGGAUCCAAUCAAAUCAUUUGUGUUCCUGGAUCCUUUCACAGCAUUAUAAGGCUGCGUUGAGACAAUGACUUAUCAAUGACCCAAGUCCAGCUCAUUUAAUCCCUACCAUUGUGUCAGAGUUGUCAUAAAGCUUCAGCAAAUGUACAUUAUCCUAGAGGAGUUAGAAGACACAAUCUAAGUUCCCUCUUCCCUGAUCAAGAGGUGAUGACCCCUCCACUCCACUACCAUUGUCAAUGCUCUCCUGACAUAAACUAAAGCCACAUCUCAUGUGCCCGUUCAUCAACUGGCACACUGAAUGUUUCCUCUCCAAGUACUUCAAAUCCUGUCCUGCCCUCAGUGGAAGAGUUGAGCUCUUCUACAACACCAUCCAUCCAUGAUGUACUGAAGACUAUGAACACCGCAACCACUGUCCUGCACUGAAGUCAAGCCUCUGAACACCUCAACUCAUGCCUCAUACCCUCAUUCAAUCACUGCUGUGAUCCAUUCCCAACACUGUGUAAGUAGCCCUCUCAUUCACAUUUCCCAUAAUAUUGUACUGUAAAUGUCUUUAUUAAAUGCUUUAGGUUAAAAUAAUUAGUCUUUGAUGAUUUUUGAAACAUGCAUUUUCAUCUCUGUGCGUUCCGCGCCUAUAUCGUGGGUCUCCCAUCCUCAAUGUUUCAAGUCACCAGCCUCGACUGACAGAACACAACUGUGAAGAGUUUUCACAAAUAUUAGCGUCGUAUCUCUUAUUGUGGGACUUUAACUGGGGGAAAUUACCUCACAAUUGUCUUUUAUCUAUGGAUCUUGGGUCAAUUAAAUGGGCUAUCAACCUGCUCAGUGACACCCACAGACAGUGGGGAUUUUAGCAAAAAAGUGGUGCGGCAAAAAAAAUCAACAAUAUGUUUUAGAUGCAUGCAGCAAAGCCACAACACUAAACAAUACAUUAAUUGUACUAUAACAGUGACCACAAACUGUUAGGGCCUACAUAAACAGCAGAGCUUUUUCACCACCAUGGAGUGAACUAAACUACUGAAAGAGCUGCUUCCUGUGCUCGGCCCUCCUAUGUUGAACAUAAUAAACGGCUCUCUAUCCACCGGAUGUUUACCAAGCUCACUAAAAGUGGCAGUAAUAAAGCCUCUCUUGAAAAAGCCGAAUCUUGACCCAGAAAUUAUAAAAAAGUAUCGGCCUAUAUCGAAUCUUCCAUUCCUCUCAAAAAUGUUAGAAAAAGCU